rnacentral:rRNA from 1 species
AACGUAGGUUCCGAGCGUUAUCCGGAUUUACUGGGCGUAAAGCGCGUUCAGGCGGUUUGGCAAGUCGGGCAUGAAAUCUCUCGGCUCAACCGGGAGAGGUUGUCCGAUACUUCCAGACUUGAGGGCAGUAGAGGGUGGUGGAAUUCCGGGUGUAGUGGUGGAAUGCGUAGAGAUCAGGAAGAACACCCGUGGCGAAGGCGGCCCACUGGGCCGGUGCUGACGCUGGGGCGCGAAGGCGUGGGGAGCGAACGGGG